UGUGUGUUAGUGGAAGCGUCUGGAAAGGCGCGCGAUACAGGGUGACAGCCCCGUACACAAAAAUGCACAUGCUGUGAGCUCGAUGAGUAGGGCGGGACACGUGGUAUCCUGUCUGAAUAUGGGGGGACCAUCCUCCAAGGCUAAAUACUCCUGACUGACCGAUAGUGAACCAGUACCGUGAGGGAAAGGCGAAAAGAACCCCGGCGAGGGGAGUGAAAAAGAACCUGAAACCGUGUACGUACAAGCAGUGGGAGCACGCUUAGGCGUGUGACUGCGUACCUUUUGUAUAAUGGGUCAGCGACUUAUAUUCUGUAGCAAGGUUAACCGAAUAGGGGAGCCGAAGGGAAACCGAGUCUUAACUGGGCGUUAAGUUGCAGGGUAUAGACCCGAAACCCGGUGAUCUAGCCAUGGGCAGGUUGAAGGUUGGGUAACACUAACUGGAGGACCGAACCGACUAAUGUUGAAAAAUUAGCGGAUGACUUGUGGCUGGGGGUGAAAGGCCAAUCAAACCGGGAGAUAGCUGGUUCUCCCCGAAAGCUAUUUAGGUAGC
rnacentral:rRNA from 1 species